rnacentral:tRNA from 3 species
GCCACCCUAGCUCAGUUGGUAGAGCAGCUCACUCGUAACGAGCAGGUCAGGAGUUCGAUUCUCCUGGGUGGCU